rnacentral:rRNA from 1 species
GUCGAACGCUGGCGGCGUGCUUAACACAUGCAAGUCGAACGGUAAGGCCCUUCGGGGUACACGAGUGGCGAACGGGUGAGUAACACGUGGGUGAUCUGCCCUGCACUUCGGGAUAAGCCUGGGAAACUGGGUCUAAUACCGGAUAGGACCACUGCCUGCAUGGGUGGUGGUGGAAAGCUUUUGCGGUGUGGGAUGGGCCCGCGGCCUAUCAGCUUGUUGGUGGGGUGAUGGCCUACCAAGGCGACGACGGGUAGCCGGCCUGAGAGGGUGACCGGCGACACUGGGACUGAGAUACGGCCCAGACUCCUACGGGAGGCAGCAGUGGGGAAUAUUGCACAAUGGGCGCAAGCCUGAUGCAGCGACGCCGCGUGAGGGAUGACGGCCUUCGGGUUGUAAACCUCUUUCAGCACCGACGAAGCGCAAGUGACGGUAGGUGCAGAAGAAGGACCGGCCAACUACGUGCCAGCCGCCGCGGUAA